AUGGCGGGGAGAUUUCCGAAUGGGAGGAGAAGCGGCUUAGGUUGCGCAAGAAUUGAUUCUGCCAUAAUUUUAGUUUUUGGGACUGAAUUUAUUUCCGGAGCAGGUUUUGUUGCUGCUUCUACUUCAGUAUCGGAGAUAACGUCAGGAGGAGUAGCUUCGGGUUUCUGUAAGGUCUCAACAAUAUCGGGAGUAACAUCUGAUUUCUGCACAGUGGCACUAGUUGUAGGGAGCUCUAGAAAUUUUUUUGUUGGUGCAGGAAGAGCCUUGUUACCGUUGGUGGAGGUUUUCUUGCAUGAGUAA